GUUGGCACUUUUAUGUUUUUCAAAUUGAUGAUAUCUCUCUCUCUCUCUCUCUCUCUCUCUCUCUCUCUCACUGGUUUUUAAGUUUUUUUUCCUCACUGCUUUGUUUUGUGAGAUUAGCCAAGGAACCAAAAAAUGUGAUCUUCAUACGACGCCGGUUAAGCUUUUUCUAUUUGCACUUUCACCCCCUUAUUAUGUACAAUUCCCAAUUUCAACCGUCACGUUUUUUUGUUGUUGUUGUUGUUGUUCAGUUACUCCCCUCGUUCAAUGUAAGAAGCAGCAAACGCAAAGUAAAAAAAGAAGAAGAAGAAGAAUCGGGUUAAGAGCGCAGCGGAGUGAGGGAGAGAGCGACUGACGAUUUCUUAAGGGUUUGGAAUCACAAAUUCCCGUACUGUCAAGGUGAAACUUGUUUUUCUGAAUCAAAGCUUUGGUCUUGGGACUUCUUUGUGUAAUUGGCCAUAUACGGACGACAGAUUUAGUCGGUUGACUGAUGAUUUGCUCAUCAGAAUCUUGUCCUUUGUCCUGAUCAAAGAAGCCGUGGCUACUCGCAUUUUGUCAAAACGAUGGCGUCCUCUUUGGACAUUGUUGUCAAGGCUGAAAUUUAAAGAUCAGUAUCCGGGCCCCGGAUUGUCAUCGGAUUUUGUCUUUGGGACUUUGCUGUCAAAUAAGUCACCAUGUCUAGAAAGUUUUCAUCUCAUCAGAUAUUAUUCUGCAUGGAGCCCUUUGCAGAUUGAAUUGUGGGUUAUUUUUGCAGUUGAUCGUUUUGUGCGUGAUCUACUUAUAUAUUUGAGCUCUGAUGCUAUAAGAUUACCGACUAAGUUGUUUAGAUGUGAAACACUCGAGACCUUGCAACUGAUAGGUGUGAUUUUAUUGGAAGUUCCUUCUCGGGUUUGUUUUCAAUCCCUUAAAAAAAGUUGUGCCUUAUCUUUGUCACGUACCCAGACGAGGAAUCUUUCGUCAGGCUUAUAUCUAGUUCCCCUGUUCUUGGAGAUUUGCUUCUGGAGAAUCCCGAUGGCGACAAUAUAUAGAGACUUUUACCAUUAAUGUGCCUUCCCUUCACCGUUUAACCAUUACUACAGGUGAGCAAUCUAAUAAGAAUUGGCGGUUUGUGAUACAUUGUCAUUCUUUGAAAGAUUUGGAUAUGAGAAAUGACUAUGGUGAAGUAAAUUUGAUUGGUGAUAUGCGCGAGCUUGUGAAGGCAAAUAUUUGGACUUGUGAUAGCAAUGUUUUCAAGUCUCUUACCUUUGCCAAAACACUUCGUCUGACCUUACAAGACUAUAAUAAGGCCCCGUAUCAUUUUGGUACCAUUUUCUCUCAGCUUGUGUCUUUGGAGUUCCGCGGACGAUGUUACAACUGGUGGAAUUUUCUUGUAAAUGUGCUGCAACAUUCCCCUAGACUACAGAUUCUCACGUUAGAAGGUUGUUAUAGUGAGAAAGUGUGGAGAUAUAGGGAAUUAUGGAGUCAGCCGAGUUGUGCUCCUGAAUGUUUGUAUCGUCUCAAAACCUUUAAGUGGAUAGAGUAUGAAGGAAGUCCAAUACAAAAAGAAGUGGCCAGUUAUAUUCUGAAUAACGCAAGGCGAUUAGUUACUGCAAUGCAACUGUCUCCGUUGUCCCAGAAAUGGUAAGCGAUCAGGCGUUUGAGGAAUUGGAAUUUGAAACCAGGGGUUCAAGUGUGAGCUUAAUUGAUGCGACCAUACAUGAGGAUGUACCAGACAUUGCAGAACAGAGAAGGGUGUCUACGAGAACCAGGGUGCCUAACCGGCGGCACACAACAUAACCAGGCACGGGAUCGGUUCGAUUGUUCCAUUUCUAUUUCUAGUUUUCUGAUUUCAUUGUUGUUAAUAAUGAGACUUAGUCGUCCCGUUGUUAAGGACACUAAGCCAUCACGUUCCUAUUUUCUUGUUGCAUUUCCCCACUUCCAUGUACUAGAGAUCGGAUGAUCUCGACUUGUAUUUUGCUUCUAUUUAAGAAAUGAAAAACCACAAAAAGAGGUAGUCUUAACUACCCAAAAAAUAUUGUUCUUGUUUGUUCUUGAAACAAAUUCUCUUGCUUUGAAGAGGGACCAACAUUAAUGUGUUCAA